rnacentral:rRNA from 1 species
AUUGAACGCUGGCGGCAGGCCUAACACAUGCAAGUCGAACGGUAACAGGAAGCAGCUUGCUGCUUUGCUGACGAGUGGCGGACGGGUGAGUAAUGUCUGGGAAACUGCCUGAUGGAGGGGGAUAACUACUGGAAACGGUAGCUAAUACCGCAUAACGUCGCAAGACCAAAGAGGGGGACCUUCGGGCCUCUUGCCAUCGGAUGUGCCCAGAUGGGAUUAGCUUGUUGGUGGGGUAACGGCUCACCAAGGCGACGAGCCCUAGCUGGUCUGAGAGGAUGACCAGCCACACUGGAACUGAGACACGGUCCAGACUCCUACGGGAGGCAGCAGUGGGGAAUAUUGCACAAUGGGCGCAAGCCUGAUGCAGCCAUGCCGCGUGUAUGAAGAAGGCCUUCGGGUUGUAAAGUACUUUUAGCGGGGAGGAAGGGAGUAAAGUUAAUACCUUGACUCAUUGACGUUACCCGCAGAAGAAGCACCGGCUAACUCCGUG